rnacentral:rRNA from 1 species
AAAGGUGUGCCGCUGCUAUAAUGCAGUCGAGCGGACAGAUGGGAGCUUGCUCCCUGAUGUUAGCGGCGGACGGGUGAGUAACACGUGGGUAACCUGCCUGUAAGACUGGGAUAACUCCGGGAAACCGGGGCUAAUACCGGAUGGUUGUUUGAACCGCAUGGUUCAGACAUAAAAGGUGGCUUCGGCUACCACUUACAGAUGGACCCGCGGCGCAUUAGCUAGUUGGUGAGGUAACGGCUCACCAAGGCGACGAUGCGUAGCCGACCUGAGAGGGUGAUCGGCCACACUGGGACUGAGACACGGCCCAGACUCCUACGGGAGGCAGCAGUAGGGAAUCUUCCGCAAUGGACGAAAGUCUGACGGAGCAACGCCGCGUGAGUGAUGAAGGUUUUCGGAUCGUAAAGCUCUGUUGUUAGGGAAGAACAAGUGCCGUUCAAAUAGGGCGGCACCUUGACGGUACCUAACCAGAAAGCCACGGCUAACUACGUGCCAGCAGCCGCGGUAAUACGUAGGUGGCAAGCGUUGUCCGGAAUUAUUGGGCGUAAAGGGCUCGCAGGCGGUUUCUUAAGUCUGAUGUGAAAGCCCCCGGCUCAACCGGGGAGGGUCAUUGGAAACUGGGGAACUUGAGUGCAGAAGAGGAGAGUGGAAUUCCACGUGUAGCGGUGAAAUGCGUAGAGAUGUGGAGGAACACCAGUGGCGAAGGCGACUCUCUGGUCUGUAACUGACGCUGAGGAGCGAAAGCGUGGGGAGCGAACAGGAUUAGAUACCCUGGUAGUCCACGCCGUAAACGAUGAGUGCUAAGUGUUAGGGGGUUUCCGCCCCUUAGUGCUGCAGCUAACGCAUUAAGCACUCCGCCUGGGGAGUACGGUCGCAAGACUGAAACUCAAAGGAAUUGACGGGGGCCCGCACAAGCGGUGGAGCAUGUGGUUUAAUUCGAAGCAACGCGAAGAACCUUACCAGGUCUUGACAUCCUCUGACAAUCCUAGAGAUAGGACGUCCCCUUCGGGGGCAGAGUGACAGGUGGUGCAUGGAUUGUCGUCAGCUCGUGUCGUGAGAUGUUGGGGUUAGGUCCCGCACGAGCGCAACCCUUGAUCUUAGUGCCAGCAUUCAGUUGGGCACUCUUAGGUGACUGCGUGACAACGGAGGAAAGGGGGGGAUGACGUCCAAUCAUCAUGUCCUUAUGACUUGGCUACCACGGUGCUACAUGGACCGAACCUAAGUGUCACAGCCGUAAAAUCACUCGGA